UACAGAGGGUGCGAGCGUUAAUCGGAAUUACUGGGCGUAAAGCGUGCGUAGACGGUUAUUUAAGUCGGAUGUGAAAGCCCCGGGCUCAACCUGGGAAUUGCAUUCGAGACUGAAUAGCUAGGGUACGGUAGAGGGAAGUGGAAUUUCCGGUGUAGCGGUGAAAUGCGUAGAUAUCGGAAGGAACAUCAGUGGCGAAAGCGCACAUCUGGCCCGAUACUGACGCUGAGGCGCGAAAGCUAGGGGAGCAAACGGG
rnacentral:rRNA from 1 species